CCCCCUAAUAAAUCCCCCCCCACAGCACAGAGAGCGACUGUGUGGAGCCUGAGGAAGCUUGAACGAACUGCCCAUCCCCAGGUGAACCCCAUCAGCCAGCACCAUGUCUGACGCAGAAGAGGUGGAGUAUGAGGAGGAGCAGCAUGAAGGUACGUGACGCUUCCCCCAUCCUGCCGCAACAAUCCGUUAAUCCCUGGUCGCUGUUAAUUAGCCACUAUUAAUGACUGGGGUCCUCCGCUGGCAGUGAGAGAGGAGGAGAAGACCUCAGUGGGUCAGUCUGGGGCAGGAGUCAUCUGAGCCAGUGGGGAAAUGGGUGGCCAGGGAAGAAGCCCA